UACGUAGGGGGCAAGCGUUGUCCGGAAUCAUUGGGCGUAAAGAGCGUGUAGGCGGCCAGAAAAGUCCGCUGUGAAAACUCGAGGCUCAACUUCGAGCUGUCGGUGGAAACUUUCUGGCUAGAGUCCGGAAGAGGAGAAUGGAAUUCCUGGUGUAGCGGUGAAAUGCGCAGAUAUCAGGAAGAACACCCGUGGCGAAGGCGGUUCUCUGGGGACGGUACUGACGCUGAGACGCGAAAGCGUGGGGAGCGAACAGG
rnacentral:rRNA from 1 species